AAACUUAAAGGAAUUGGCGGGGGAGCACCACAACGGGUGGAGCUUGCGGUUUAAUUGGAUUCAACGCCGGAAAUCUUACCGGGACCGACAGCAAUAUGAAGGCCAGGCUGAAGACUUUGCCGGAUUAGCUGAGAGGUGGUGCAUGGCCGUCGUCAGUUCGUACUGUGAAGCAUCCUGUUAAGUCAGGCAACGAGCGAGACCCACGCCCACAGUUGCCAGCGUACUCUCUGGAGUGACGGGUACACUGUGGGGACCGCCGCUGCUAAAGCGGAGGAAGGAAUGGGCAACGGUAGGUCAGUAUGCCCCGAAUAUCCCGGGCUACACGCGAGCUACAAUGGUUGGUACAAUGGGUAUCUACCCCGAAAGGGGACGGGAAUCUCCUAAAACCAAUCUUAGUUCGGAUCGAGGGCUGCAACUCGCCCUCAUGAAGCUGGAGUCCGUAGUAAUCGCGUUUCAACAGAACGCGGUGAAUACGUCCCUGCUCCUUGCACACACCGCCCGUCAAACCACCCGAGUAGGGUCUGAAUGAGAGCGCUUACCAAUCGGAGGCGUUCGAAUUUGGGCUUUGCAAGGGGGGUUAAGUCGUAACAAGGUAACCAAGGGCGAAU
rnacentral:rRNA from 1 species